rnacentral:rRNA from 1 species
AUACUGUCUCUUUUAUAAAAAUUAAAAUUUAUUUUUGAGUGAAAAAUCUCAAAUCUUCUACAAAGACAAAAAGACCCUUUAAGCUUUUAUUUCAAAAUUAAUCUAAUAACCAAAUAUUUAAUUGGGGCGAUUCUAAGUUUAAAACACUUAAAUAUAUAAGAAAGUAAAUCUCCAUAUUCAUCCCAUCACACAAAAGUAAGUUACUAUAGGGAUAACAGGCCAAUUCUUCUUUAGAGCACAAAUCGACAGAAGAGCUUAGCACCUCGAUGUUGGCUUAGGGAACCUAAAUCACGCAGAAGUAAUAAAAGGGGGUUUGUUCAACCUUUAAUUCCCUACGUGAUCUGAG